GCUGUUGCCAUGUAUUUUAUAAAUGUUUUAUAUAUCUCAUUGACAUCAUGAAAUAGGAAAAAACAAUAACACGUCAUUCAAUUGAUGCCUCGAAAGUUUCUACAUGAUUUCGUGAGUAUUUGUCAUUGAACAGGGGCUAUUUGUUUUGAUGUGGGUGCCACUUACCCCAUUAAACCCAGUCAGUGUGAGUGGGGUGCCACCUACCCCAUUAAACCCAGUCAGUGUGAGUGGGGUGCCGCAGACAGAUGCUGGUGUUGCGCAAUAAUGCAAGAUUCUUGACAACAUGACUGACCUUUCUGCCCCUCGGUUCUUAGCGGAAAACGUGCAAAACCCAGUGGGCCAGUUGACCUGUGACAAUCAGAAAGACCCCGUUGCAACUCUUGUGACGGACAGGUAUCCACGUUUAUCUGACAACAUUGAAAUUUGCCCACGUAUGGCGUCGGAUGACAUUUGGAAAGUGUGUGAAUUGGGUGAGAAAACAAUAAAGAGCCAUGCCAGGACUACUUUGAGCACAGAUGAAAAAGUUCUAAUCACACUGCCAAGGAAUGAUUCUACCACAGCAGAGUUCAUAGAGGUCCACGUGCUGGACGGCAGUUCCACCACCAUAGUCAGCGCCAGCACCCAGACAGACUGGGAGUGGGUGGAGCAGGCACUCACAGACAGCUGUCAAGUUCAAAGUAAAGUGGAGAGGUCUGAGCCAAAAGCCUCAUCACAGACAGUCCCCCAGAGUAUAGUUAUUGGGCCAGAUUCAGAGGUAAGGUAGGCUAAUGUAUAUAGCCUAUGGUAUAUGAUUAGUUAAUAGAAAACUGUUCAAUCACAGUAGGCUAUUCAAUCAACCAAUUUACUACCAACCCAACAAACUGAAACUAGAUGAAAACAAACUGAAGAAUUGAUAUGGUAUAACAGGGUUUAUCUUGUGUGUCCUCUUUGGAAGAAUGAAGAGACAGAUAUGGAGAAGGAAAAUGAGUUGUAUGGUAUACCUAAUGUGGGGCCACCUUCCAUGUUGGCCUACAAACCAGAGUCGAAACAACCCCCUGUUCAUUUUGAAAAGGUAAGCAACCUCAAGCACUUUGGAUGAGAAAUGAUACAAUGACUACAAAGUUAA
rnacentral:lncRNA from 8 species